UUAGUGACUGCGGAUGACAUUACUGAUUAAUUGACUGUGCUGGCUUUGCAGUGCCGUCUUAUCCCCUUUACCCUUUGUGAACCUUUAGACUUGACUCUUGGAAACAAGAGGACAGUAUUUAUUACACUCUUUACAAUGUAUGUGAUUAUUGUAAUGUGCUUUGAUGCACUAUUUUCUGCAACUUUCAACAACGGAUCUCUUGGGUCUCUCAUGGAUGAAGAAUCCAUCAAAAUGCCAUAAAAAAGGUGAAUUGCAUAAUUCUUGGAAACUUCAAAUCUUUGACCGCUUCUUGAACCCUUUGGUCUUCCUCAGGGUAUGCCUGUUUGAGUGCCAUUGAAACCUCACAUCUAAUAACUUUUGUUACUAGACGGUGGACUUGGACAUUGUACUUUUUUGUUAACUACUUGUCUUAAAUGCAUUAGUGGUUGCCAUGUGUAACUAAUAGCCUUGUGUGAUAAGUAUCUUCACUAGGUUGUUGCGCAUGACCUGCUCAUAACUGUCCUUUGCGGGACAAUCAAUGUCAAAUUUGGCCUCAAAUCAGGUAAGACUACCCGCUGAACUUAAGCAUAUCAAAAGCCGGAGGAAAGU
rnacentral:rRNA from 1 species